CUCCCAGAUUUGGUUUUACAAUCUCAUAAAAGGAAAGAGGGGAAGCUGAGCAGAGUAUCAGUGGCAGCAGAGGUUAAUAUACAAAUUAGUUUAAACAAAAAUAUUUACAUUUUGUCUGGGGCGUGGAUUCUAGUAUAACCAAUAUAUUACAAGCCAAGGACCUAAGUAAAAAGCGAGUAUGGCACGAAUCAAGUUAACCGCUCGGAAGCGGGUGCGAGCUCGGAUAAGGGAAAGGCACAUCACCCCAGCUGAAGCUGCCAGACAACGAAGAAUAGUAGGAACUCGAGCUGUAGUUGUUCUCUUUUGGUUUCAACCCUUUUCAUAUGUAAUCAUAUUAGUAGUUUGGAUGUAAGUUAGACGAUCGACCCUGGACUUGUGGGGCGAGAGUCGGAUAUUGUAUAAUAUUAAUAUCUAUGCAAGUGUUGUUUUGAUGUCAAA